rnacentral:rRNA from 1 species
UACGUAGGGCACAAGCGUUGUCCGGAAUUAUUGGGCGUAAAGAGCUCGUAGGCGGUUUGUCGCGUCUGUCGUGAAAGCUUGGGGCUUAACCCCAAGUCUGCGGUGGAUACGGGCAGACUAGAGGCAGGUAGGGGAGAACGGAAUUCCCGGUGUAGCGGUGAAAUGCGCAGAUAUCGGGAGGAACACCGGUGGCGAAGGCGGUUCUCUGGGCCUGUACUGACGCUGAGGAGCGAAAGCGUGGGGAGCGAACAGG